GGCUCAGGAUGAACGCUGGCGGCGUGCCUAAUACAUGCAAGUCGAGCGAACUGAUUAGAAGCUUGCUUCUAUGACGUUAGCGGCGGACGGGUGAGUAACACGUGGGCAACCUGCCUGUAAGACUGGGAUAACUUCGGGAAACCGAAGCUAAUACCGGAUAGGAUCUUCUCCUUCAUGGGAGAUGAUUGAAAGAUGGUUUCGGCUAUCACUUACAGAUGGGCCCGCGGUGCAUUAGCUAGUUGGUGAGGUAACGGCUCACCAAGGCAACGAUGCAUAGCCGACCUGAGAGGGUGAUCGGCCACACUGGGACUGAGACACGGCCCAGACUCCUACGGGAGGCAGCAGUAGGGAAUCUUCCGCAAUGGACGAAAGUCUGACGGAGCAACGCCGCGUGAGUGAUGAAGGCUUUCGGGUCGUAAAACUCUGUUGUUAGGGAAGAACAAGUACGAGAGUAACUGCUCGUACCUUGACGGUACCUAACCAGAAAGCCACGGCUAACUACGUGCCAG
rnacentral:rRNA from 2 species